GCCAAGAGGGGUUUGAAGAUGCUACUUUGCUGCCUUUGAAAGGGGCCAGAGCCAGAGAAUCCAAGGAAUGCAGCUCUAGCAGCUGGAAAGGCCACAGUUCUCCCUUAGAGCCUCCGGAGGGAGCGCAGCCCUGCCAGCACCUUAGGUUCAGCCCGGAUGCACCAUUUAAGACUUCGGACCUCCAGAACUAUAAGAGAAUAUAUUGUGCUAUUUUAAACCUUAAAGUUUGUGGUCAUUUGUUCCAGCAGCAACAGGAAACUAAUUUGAACACCAAGCACUGUAUCUGAUAUAACCAAAGCUCCAAAGGAGGGUGCAGGCCCAGGAGUCGUGUGGCCACUGCCAGGAGAGCUAAAGCCAUAAGACUCUUGGCCACCUCGCUUCCUGCCUCUCUCAGUUGAUUCCCUGUGACUCUAUCCCUGCAUGGAGGAGAGACAAGUGAAAAUGAAAGACAGAUGAAUGUGUCAAGUUGAGAGCUCUUUACAUGAUGAAGGUGUUUCUGCUUCAUUGCAUGAAACAGAACAUAGAGCGGUGAUAAAACCCAGCCAGAUCCUUUGGGUUGACUUCCAACCACAGGUGGUGGUUACUCAUUAGGAAAGAGCGAACACUGUAAUGAUUUCAAAACUAAGGAGUGCAAAGCCAAAUAUUCACUAAUAAUCACUCAUCAAGGAGAACAGAUGGCACAGGUUGAACACUCCUGAAAAUGAAAGCCCUUGGCUGCAGGGGUGAAUGUCCAGGACCCACAGAAAAUAUCAAGUCAGAUACCUCUUGAAGCACUGAUGGGAAGGUGCAGCUGGACUCCCUGGAACUCUGAAGCUGAGAGAGAGAGCACCACGGAAGGGAGCCCCAUUCCCAAGCAUGGUGUCCAAUACACUGAAAGAAUAACUGGGCUCAGUAAUGCACCUAGAGACUCAGAUUCCAGACCUGCCCACUUGCUUUACUAUCCAAAACAACCAUGACACAUGACUUCUCUGGCAGGGUGUUGGCCAAGACAAAUUGAACUAUAGAAGAUCCUUGACUUGCCAACGUUCAGAUGAUGAACUUUCAAAAAUAGCGAAACUGGCUGCGGAGCAAAAGCUUUUCGGCUCUGCACAACACCAACAGAUGGCGCUAAGUGUCACCCUUGUGGAGAGCAGAGGGACCUCGGAAGGGCCUUUGGAAAUCUAAUCUGGUUUUGAGUUCUUGGUGGGAAAAUGCACCUUUAAGUUGGGGGAGUUUGAAGACACUGCCAAGACACGUGCUGCAGCAUUUGAUCUUUUCUGCCGCACUGGCUUCUGCAAUUAACAUGCUUUCACCAGUGAAACUCAGGUUGGGGGGAGAGCAUUCUUCCAGGUUUAUGCCUGUUGUCAUGGAGUAAUUAUAAUUCAUGUCUCCGUUCACAGUGUCCUGGUUUGUAGAAUAAAAUAUCUGGU